GACGGAGGAUGCAAGUGUUAUCCGGAAUCACUGGGCGUAAAGCGUCUGUAGGUGGUUUAAAAAGUCUACUGUUAAAACUUGAAGCUUAACUUCAAAAAUGCCGUAGAAACUUUUAAACUUGAGUAUGGUAGGGGUAGAGGGAAUUUCCAGUGGAGCGGUGAAAUGCGUAGAUCUUGGAAAGACCACCAAUGGCGAAGGCACUCUACUGGGCCAUAACUGACACUAAGAGACGAAAGCUAGGGGAGCAAAUGGG
rnacentral:rRNA from 1 species